AUGAGCAGUCCCCGCCUACCUUGGUGCAGUUGGAUCGCGUGCUUUGCACUACGGACUGGGAGGAGGCAAACGGCGAGUGUCACCUCCGUUGCCUCGCGUCCGUCGUGUCGGACCACUGCCCGCUCCUACUGGACUGCUCCCCCAUGCCCACGGCGCACCGACGUUUCCACUUUGAGGCCUUUUGGCUGCGCCUUGACGGGUUCCACGACACGGUGGCUGCGGCAUGGGGCUCGGUGCAUGACCCGGACCCAUUCCGCCGCCUCAUGA
rnacentral:rRNA from 1 species